GCACUGCUGAGGAGUCCCAUGAUGGGACGAAACGGCCGUCCACUGC
rfam:Schistosoma rodhaini strain Burundi genome assembly, scaffold: SROB_scaffold0001530